rnacentral:rRNA from 1 species
AAAUUGAAGAGUUUGAUCAUGGCUCAGAUUGAACGCUGGCGGCAGGCCUAACACAUGCAAGUCGAACGGUAGCACAGAGAGCUUGCUCUCGGGUGACGAGUGGCGGACGGGUGAGUAAUGUCUGGGAAACUGCCUGAUGGAGGGGGAUAACUACUGGAAACGGUGGCUAAUACCGCAUAACGUCGCAAGACCAAAGAGGGGGACCUUCGGGCCUCUUGCCAUCAGAUGUGCCAAGAUGGGAUUAGCUUGUUGGUGAGGUAACGGCUCACCAAG